rnacentral:lncRNA from 1 species
AAUUCAUAGCAAAACACUUGAAAGCUCGAAGAUAAUUCAAAGAUAUUUCAGAAGGCAAAUAGUAGGCGUAUAUAGAAAAAGAGCAUAGAAGAGAGGGUAAGAGUGCAAUUCGAGAGUCUUUUCAAUUGUGUCUCAAGUGUAGAAAAAGUGUGCCCUUUUAUAGUGAAGAGGUAAGAAAUAACUUUGAAAAAAUGAGUCUCAAUGAUUUUCCUUCGGUCAAGGGAUUUUAUUUCAAAUGGGCAUGAGGUAAUUAAGGAAAGAAAAUAACUAAAACCAUUUUCCAGAGUAACAUAAUAGGGGUAAAUACACAUAACCACUACUUAAGGAAAGAGUAUAGUAGUACACAUUUUCGGAAAAAUAAGGAAAGGCAAUCAAUCAACAACCACUAAAAAUCAAAGUGACAAGCUUCAUUUGAAUGAACUGGGUCAGGAAAAGGGGAAGGGAAAGUUCAAUUAGAGAAAUCAAUAAUAAAUUAGUCAGGAACUAUUAAAACUAAUUUGAAAUAAAUUAAUAGUUGCAAAUACCUUUUGAAGGAGGAGUUCUCAUAUAUAAAGCAUACAGACAUGUGAGGUAAGAGAGAGUUGUCAUGUUAACAAGAAAACUAUCACAGAAAAAGAAAUCAGAGUCAUAACAGAGAG